GACGAACGCUGGCGGCGUGCUUAACACAUGCAAGUCGAACGGAAAGGCCCUGCUUUUGUGGGGUGCUCGAGUGGCGAACGGGUGAGUAACACGUGAGUAACCUGCCCUUGACUUUGGGAUAACUUCAGGAAACUGGGGCUAAUACCGGAUAGGAGCUCCUGCUGCAUGGUGGGGGUUGGAAAGUUUCGGCGGUUGGGGAUGGAUUCGCGGCUUAUCAGCUUGUUGGUGGGGUAGUGGCUUACCAGGGCUUUGACGGGUGGCCGGCCUGAGAGGGUGACCGGCCACAUUGGGACUGAGAUACGGCCCAGACUCCUACGGGAGGCAGCAGUGGGGAAUAUUGCACAAUGGGCGGAAGCCUGAUGCAGCAACGCCGCGUGCGGGAUGACGGCCUUCGGGUUGUAAACCGCUUUCGCCUGUGACGAAGCGUGAGUGACGGUAAUGGGUAAAGAAGCACCGGCUAACUACGUG
rnacentral:rRNA from 1 species